GAUGAACGCUGGCGGCGUGCCUAAUACAUGCAAGUCGAGCGAACGGACGAGAAGCUUGCUUCUCUGAUGUUAGCGGCGGACGGGUGAGUAACACGUGGAUAACCCACCUAUAAGACUGGGAUAACUUCGGGAAACCGGAGCUAGUACCGGAUAAUAUUUUGAACCGCAUGGUUCAAAAGUGAAAGACGGUCUUGCUGUCACUUAUAGAUGGAUCCGCGCUGCAUUAGCUAGUUGGUAAGGUAACGGCUUACCAAGGCAACGAUGCAUAGCCGACCUGAGAGGGUGAUCGGCCUCACUGGAACUGAGACACGGUCCAGACUCCUACGGGAGGCAGCAGUAGGGAAUCUUCCGCAAUGGGCGAAAGCCUGACGGAGCAACGCCGCGUGAGUGAUGAAGGUCUUCGGAUCGUAAAACUCUGUUAUUAGGGAAGAACAUAUGUGUAAGUAACUGUGCACAUCUUGACGGUACCUAAUCAGAAAGCCACGGCUAACUACGUG
rnacentral:rRNA from 1 species